rnacentral:rRNA from 1 species
AAACCAGCACCUCAAGUGGUCAGGAGGAUUAUUGGGCCUAAAGCAUCCGUAGCCUGUUCUGUAAGUUUUCGGUUAAAUCCAUUAGCUCAACUAAUGGUCUGCCGAAAAUACUGUAGAACUAGGGAGUGGGAGAGGUAGACGGUAUUCGGUAGGAAGGGGUAAAAUCCUUUGAUCUAUUGAGGACCACCUGUGGCGAAGGCGGUCUACCAGAACACGUCCGACGGUGAGGGAUGAAAGCUGGGGGAGCAAACCGGAUUAGAAACCCCAGUAGUCC